UACGUAGGGUGCAAGCGUUGUCCGGAUUUAUUGGGCGUAAAGAGUGUCGUAGGCGGUUUUUUAAGUAACGGGUUAAAGCCUGGGGCUCAACUCCAGAGAUGCUCGUUAAACUGAAAGACUAGCGGUUAUUCGGAGUUGCCAGAAUUCUUGGUGGAGGAGUAAAAUCCGUUGAUAUCAAGAAGAAUACCAAAAGCGAAGGCAGGCAUCUAGGAUAUACCGGACGCUGAUGAACGAAAGCUAGGGGA
rnacentral:rRNA from 1 species